GCACUGCCAGCACCUUGAUUUUACCAAGCAUAAUGAUGUCAGUGAUGGAAUUCAUCAUUUAACUUCACAUUUAUGUUGCAUCAAAAGCUCCAGUGAACAUUGUUUCAGCGCCAUCUGAGAAUGUAGGUCCUCAAGAUGACCUUUACUCUGACAUUGUAAUCACAUUGUCUUUCCCUUGGUUGGAAUGGAUGACCAUGAACAGGCUGGUACAACUUCAAGCCAGGACACAGACUGUACAAAUUGUUGCAUCUGUUGCAGUUUUGACACAUUUCUGCGACACUGCUGUGAUUGUUUAUCCAUUUCACCUGCUGCUUUUUGUGAAUUAUGCUUGUCAUUUGCCUGUGAUGCAUGUCUGGACCAAUUUCUUGGCUCUUUAUUUUAAGUUAGGACAUCCCAGAACUAUAAAAUUUUGACUCUUUGGAUAUUAUGGAGAUUAGGCCUACUGUCACUAGCAUGUCUGUGCACUUUUCCAUUGCUUUCAAGAAGACAACAUGUUACUGACUUGCCCUAUACUGUGCCCAUUUUUUUCCUUUAUCCUAUAUGCUGUUUAGGUGAUGUCUGUUAUUUUCAAAAUUACUUUCUAAACCGGGAUGCCAAUGUGAGAGUAAAUGGAUGACUCUUUUGCCUGUGACCUGUCUGCGAUAUAUUCUGAGUCUCACCAAAAAACAGAAAACAAAUGGAUCAAUUUGUUUUAUAGAUUAUUCAUGUAAAGAUACUAUAAAGUACAUAGUCAAGGUGGUUUCACACUUAAAGUGCCAUCAUUCAUUCAUUUAUUCACAAAGACUCAGAGAUUUAAUGCUUUGUUAAAGCAAUAAUCCACUGAGGGAUUUUUAUUACAUUUGCCCAAGUGGAGUGUAACACAAAGUGUCAGGAGAGAAAACCAUUGACUAAGCCUCCAGUUAAAUUAGCAUUGCAGUCAAAGGAAUUUAUUUUACAAUAUCAAACAGGUCUAACAAAUUUGUCACUUUUAGCUUAUCUUUCUUAAAUUCAUCUAGCAAAAACAGCACUAAUGCAGCAGCUAUGCACUUCUCAGAGUCAUGUGGCCAAUUGGCAAGGAGUACCUGCUGCUGGAGACAGAUACGAGGUUCCUCAAAUGAUCAGAAUGCUGUUGAGUUUUAGCAGUCAGGUGUGGGAGACCUAGAACAAUUAUGAUUAUGAUCAGUGUACUUCUACUGGGUCGGCACUGGAACCAACAUAACCAUCAAUGGGCAAUUAGCAUUGUUUAAACUUGCCUGAGAAGUAAGACAUGGGUUGUCUUAUACCAUCUACUCUAUUUUAUAGCAAUAGUCCUCUGCCUCCAGUGGAACUGGCAUCAACAUCCAGCUUGAAGGGCUUGGUUAACUUGUGGAUUUUUAGAACAGGGUUCACGCAAAAGGCAGAGCUGGACUACGCAAACGGUUGGCGUUACCACCAUUAAGAAAUUGCCGUUAAACACACCUGUUAUACCCAACCAGACCUAAAAACCUCUGAAGUUAAUGUCUUGUUGUGGGUGUAGGGCAGGUCAAAAUUGGAUCCAGGUUUGCAGGUAUUGGAAACACAGAUACAAGACUAAACUAAAUAUUGUGGAACUGGUGGAAUUAAAUUCUGCAAUUGACAUUCUGUUCAGUCAAUCAUAUUUUUGUUAUUAUAAUCGCAUACAUUUAAAUAUAGACACUUCUCUUUCAUUCAGUUAGCACUUUAUCACCAGCUGGUUAUGCAAACAGGACUAUUCACUCAUUCGGUGUCCAGAUGUCAGUUAGUUUGGUUUCUCUCCACACUCUUUAUCCAGGUUCUGGGCAAUGAUUUUUUAAAAUCAAGCAGAUGUUGUUAACACAGCAUUAAAACAGUGUUGACACAGUAAUUGUAAUGUGCCAAACAUUCCAUUGGGUGUCAUCCACCUAUUAGUACCCUGAAGUGUAGCUUUAGUCAACUUGUAUAGGCUCUGGAGAGCAUCCACUGACUGCAGGAUAUACAAGUGCAUGUUUUAUUACUGGUUUCAGUGUGUGUAUAUAUAUAUACACUGAUCUUAGAGCUGUUCAUAACUUUCUCACUGGAAGGUUAAAACUAUUGGCUGAUAAUGAAAAGAAAUAAAAGAAGACACUCUACAAAGGGUCUGCUACGAAUUUAAAGAUAAUUUUCUUUAAAUUAUUUGACUAAUAGUACACAUUGGUGAUGUAUCUAAUACUUAGUUGUUACGUGUCUGCAGGCUGCAAUCACAACCACCAGUUACGAAUUAUGAGAUGGUCUUUAAUCAUCUGGGAUUAUAACUUUCAAAUCUGCCAUAAAAAAGGGACAGAAAAUGUCUUAGUUGAUGCACUGUCCCAUGCCCUGUAAUCAGUUUUUUUUGUCUUUGAAAGCUCCAAACAUUUUGUUUGGACUUGUAAGGGUGGGGGUGUUACAUGUCUGCAGGCUGUCUGCUUUUUUUGUUUUUUGUCUUUCCUCUUUUUGCUUGCCAUUUUCCCUAGGUACACAGACUGCAGGCUCGUGCCAAUUUGGGAAUCUCCAGCUAAUUGGAGGGAGGAGGCUUUGAAUGGACCAACCAGGAGUGAGGACACCCUUAUAAAAGAAAACUCACUUGUGGCUAUAGGUGGCCCUUUCCUCCUUGCUUGCUAAAGAUCAUUUGGUACAUAUGUUGUGCUGUCCUGGAGCAUUUGAUUUGUUUGUGCAAAGUUUGUGGUGGGAGAAAGAGGACUAGGUAAGUCUGGAGGACCCUGUACAUUUCCACACGUAUGAUGUUUUCUGUUAAAUACACUAGGUAAGAAGGUUGGGGCCACCCAUGUAUUGUUUGACCUUAUUUUGUGAGUUGAGGAUUGGGACCUUUUUUCUUCUUCUUUGUUUUCCUCCUGUAGUAAAGCUCAAAUAGGUUGUGAGAAAAAAAAAAAAAAAAAGGAUCAAGGAUCAAACCAGAACCCAACGGUCCAUUUCUCCCCCCACAUUGUUGUAUGGCUUGGAGACGUUCUUUUUUGAAAGAGAAAUUACCCAUUAAAACUGUUAUCUGCUA